ensembl:lncRNA
CAUGGGGGUGUCCUGCACAGCCUGGUGACUGGUUAGCAAUACCAUAUUGCAUAUUUGAAAGUUGCCACUAGGGUAGAUCUUAAAAGUUGUCAUCACAAGAAAAAACAAAACAAGUUUACCUGUGUGGUGAUACCUGUUAACUGGAUCAUUUUACAAUAGAUACAAAUAUCAAGCAUCACACUGUACACCUGGAACUAAUGCUAUAUGUCAACUAGGCUUCAGUAAAAUUAUGUAUUUUAUAAAAUGAAAAAAUAAGAUUUAAAAACAAAAAUAAUGAAGACCUUAAUAGCUGGGGCCUCCCUCGUGGCUCACUGGUAAGGAAUCCACCUGCCAAUGCAGGAGACAUGGGUUCGGUCCCUGGUCCUGGAUGAUUCCACAGCAAGAGAAGCCACCGCAGUGAGAAGCCCGUGGACUAAAGCUAGAGAGUAGCCCCGCCCGCUGCAACUAGAGAAAAAAGCCCACGCGGCAGUGAGACCCAGGACAGCCGAAAGUAAGGAGACGAAUUAUUUUUAAAAACAAUAAAGACUUUCAUAGUUGCCAGAAUUUUAUGUGGUUCUUGACAAGCUUAUUCUAAAAAUAUUUAAGAAGGAAUUUCCACUUCUGGGAAUGGCAUGCUAGGUAAUUCAGACCAGCUCCCCUGCUAAGAAAGCUGAACCAAGUAUUUUUAAAUCCAGGCCUGAAUCCAUCUGAGAGCUAGCAAGAGAAGGAAGAAUUACUGGGCAGAAAUCCAUGAUGCUGACACUCGGGUCACAUUCCUGCCAAUUCCAGAAGAGGUGUCUAAGAGGCUCAGCAGCACUUCUGACAAGAGGAAGAUGUAAAACAACAGAAGACAGUCCAGAACUGACUAUACUUUGAGAGCCCUCAAGGGAGCCUUCCAGGCAUAAAAGCAUGACCACGACGAUGAGUACCCAGCCCUCGCGGGGCCAAGCCAGCUUCAGACCAUCUCGGUCCCUGGAAGUGGAAUGCCAGCACCUGCACACCUGCCGGGGUAAAUGCAGAGCCUCACUGGAGGCGGCAGGCGCCAUCCUCGGCCUCCAGGUAUUUCCCGCGUCAUAUACAGCAGUGAACGAGCAGGCUCUGGAGUCGGUGAUGCACAGGGAGGCCUGGCGUGGUGCAGUCCGUGGGGUCACAAAGAGUCGGACACGACUGAGCAACUACACUGAACUGAUAGAACAAUAACCAGGAACACAGGGCAAGAGACACGGACAGAUCCAGGCCAGAAGCAACGGACAGAGUCAGACCUGCAGAGGCAGGGAUUCCACAGUUAGCAGGCGCAGACGCGAAAGCACGAUGCUUGCUCUGAUCUUGGUGUAGGCCAGAAUCGAGAGUGGAGGCAACUAGUUGGAAAACAAACAGAGGACACAUGGAAAUUCUAAAACCAAAAAACUCCACAUCAGCUGAUGCAAGGAACUCAGUGAACACGUUGGACAGCAUUAGUGAGCCAGAGGUAGUUCAGGGGCUACAGGCCAGAUGAAGCGUGAAGAGACACAAGGACAAAAGCCAAGAUGGGAAGAGACAUGGGGGUGAGAGGUCGUCUGUGUAACUGCAGUACCAGCAGCAAAAGGAAAAGCCGCAGAGUGGAAGCGAUGUUCACAGCAGUGUGGUUCACAGCAGCCCCAAAGUGCAAGGGAUGCACACGGCCAUCGGCUGGUGAAAGGACAAGCCAGUGUGCUUCCGUACAAUGGGACGCCAUUCAGCGAUUCAAAAAAAAAAAAAGGAAUGAACUGACCCGCAACACACAUGAGCCUCAAAAACACUUCCUGCUUCUGUUUAAACGAAAUGUGCACAAACAGCAAACCUGAGACAGGGCGGCGCAGCGCCUGGGAGUGGGCGUGGGCCGCAGCAGACGACGGGCCUGUCGGCGUGAUGGGACUGUCUGAAAACUGCUGAGCGGCAGCGCUUACACAGCUCUGCAAACGUCCUGCACGCGCCGUUACACUCCAAAGGACAUGCAGAUCAUACCUCAAUAAUGCUGUUUUUUAAAAAGUUUUCCAAAAUCGAUUGUGCCGGUGGUCAAUGUCUUGUUCCUCACGCUUGCGGCGUGGCCGUGAGCGCUUCUCAUGUGCAGAGAAGCACAGGGUUUUGUCACUGCAGGGAGACUGUGGUGGUGGUGGCCCCUGGAGUGCAGACCACUUCCUUCUUCUGUGACCUCAUGGAAACCAGAGGCACGUGGCUGCAGACGUCCAGCACCUUCUUCCCCGGCCAUACCCUCCCCCGAACCUGGCCGUCUCUCGGCAAGCCUGCGGUCCCGACCUGGUUACCUCGCUGUGGUCCCCAGCACUGAACCAGCUCUGGCCGGCAUGAGCCGGUGUUUCUCCGCCCCGCAGAGGGCUGCGACCACAGCUUCUCCAACGACGAGCUCUGAAUCCUGGCUCUGGGUUCGUGGCCCUCCUAAGCGCCUACCUGAGGGCCUACCCGCUUUCCUGGGGUAUUCAUCUUCACCCCAGGGGAACUUUAGCAUUCCCUUUACAGUUAAUAAUUCUUUCCAUUAAAAUCUUUCUCUGUUCAAAUUACUCCAUAGUUUGUGCCUUCUGAUUGGUCUUGACUGGAAAACAUCAAGCCCUAAAUUCAAGAAACCUUAUGAAUGCCAAGUGGGAUAAUUAAAAAGAAAUACAGUGGUCCCUUAGUACCUACAGGGGACUGGAUUCAAGACCCGCUGUGGAUACCAAACUCCAGUCCCAGAGUCAGCCCUCUGCCCCCAGGGGUCAGCACCCCAAAUCUGACGCACAGUACGUGACCCGAGGCUGGCUGGACCCACGGACAGGGAGGGCGAGAGUACACAUCCAGGCACGGCAUGGUCCUAACCUUCUGAAAGACAAAAACGAAAACAAUAUCUUUAGGUAGACAAGGGAGGGAAAAAAAAAAACACAUUACCAUCAAAGGUACCGUGAAUGAGACUCCCCAACAGAAGUGCCUGGGGAUGAAAGUCAACGGUGUAUCUUCAGUACUGAAAAGAAAUCACCAGUCACACUUCCGUAUUCACUCUAAAUCCCUUUCAAGGAUGAAGGCAAAAAAUCAAGAUACUGUCAGAAGAACAAAACCAGUUCAUCGCCAGCAGACCUACAUCAAGACAAGAUGGAACAGUGU